AGACCACCCUUGUUUUAUUGUUCCCCUGGAGUGCAGAGACAGAUUCCACCUGAAGUGAGUUGAUUACCCUCACCUGUGGAUUCCCUGAAACAACUCUUGCCUGCAUGAAUUCUGCCUUGGCCUGUCGUGAAGAGCCACCUGACCGGCGAAACGCGCGUGGGGACUCAACUCUGCACACCUCUGACUUCUAGAAACUACAAUAUUUCAAGUACUGCCCCAGACCCUGUUUAGUGGGUAAAAGUUUGUCCAUAGACUGAAAUAGUUUUAAGUAAACCCUGCGUUUGUAGCUCUG